GCGGGAUUAGUUUAGUGGCAGAAUGCGACCUUCCCAAGGUUGAGGCACCGGUCCGAUUCCGGUAUCCCGCA
rnacentral:tRNA from 1 species